GGCAAAGUAGUUUAAUAAAAAUGUCUAUUUUACACGUAGGAGUUAGGUUUAUCCUUAUUGUCA
rnacentral:tRNA from 1 species